AACAAACGCUGGUGGCGUGCCUAACACAUGCAAGUCGUACGAGAAAGUUUGCUUCGGCAAAUAAGUAAAGUGGCGCACGGGUGAGUAACGCGUGGAUAAUCUGCCCUCUAGCUGGGAAUAACUCAUCGAAAGGUGGGCUAAUACCCGAUAACACUGCUUUUACUGCGGUGAAGCAGUCAAAGAUAGCCUCUGUUUACAAGCUUUCACUGGAGGAUGAGUCCGCGUACCAUUAGCUAGUUGGUAGGGUAAUGGCCUACCAAGGCGACGAUGGUUAGCUGGUCUGAGAGGAUGAUCAGCCACACUGGAACUGAGACACGGUCCAGACUCCUACGGGAGGCAGCAGUGAGGAAUCUUGCGCAAUGGGGGAAACCCUGACGCAGCAACGCCGCGUGAGUGAGGAAGGUUUUCGGAUCGUAAAGCUCUGUCAGGUGGGAAGAAAUGUACAAGGGUUAAAAGCUUUUAUACUUGACGGUACCACCAGAGGAAGCACCGGCCAACUCCGUGCCAGCCGCCGCGGUAAUAC
rnacentral:rRNA from 1 species